UAAACGCAAACAAAAAUAAAUACGUGCAAAUUAUACAAAAAUAAGCUACCACCGUAAUAAAAUCAAGUAAGCCAGGCCACCUCGAGGAGGAAAAUAUGCUGCCGUGAAAAGCGUAGGAUAAUGCACCAUGUCUCCCAUUAAUUUGUUUUUUUUUUGUUUCAUUUUAUAACAAGUUAUGCUAAACUACAGUUAUAAUACCCUUUUAAAAUAUCAUGCGACCAUUUUGAAGACUAAAUAAUAGAGAUUAGAGUUUUAAGGUCCAACCAGAUUGGAAGCAAUCCAUAUGCUCCAAUUUAGUUGAAAAAGAAAAAGAUUAUCUUUUUAGUAAAUAGUUAAAACAUGCAGUGUUAAAAAGUUCCAGAAAACAUUCAACCUUAACUAAUGCAUCGUUUUGUUAAUUCUUAUAUAUUUAAAAGUCUUAUACAAUAGGUAUAAAAGAACAAUUUAAAUUAAAACUACGAAUUACCAAGAAUAGCAACUUUAUUUAAAGUACAAAAUGGUUAUAAAAUACAAUCAAAAUGCUUUUAUAUCACUGUAACUUCUUAUUGUCAUAUUACAUGCUACAGUACGAAAAAUACUUUUAGAUAGGUAGUAAUUCUUACUAUACAUUUAGUAACUAGGUGUGCAAUCACUUGGAUAGACUUAUAUAAUGUGUAAAACAUUAUAUUCCGUUGUCCAUAUUAUUAUUGUCAUGUACGUAUGCAGUGUGAGAUGACCGUAAUAUUUUAAAUACAGCCAUUAUUAUUAUUGUAUAAAAAUUUCAAAAUAGUUUGAGAAUAUUCCUAUCACAGCUAUGUUGUACUCAAAUAUUUUGUGUUCAAAGAUUUAGCUCAGUUAAUAUUGUCAAAAAUCACAACCUACAUUGUUGCAAUAACAAGCUACAUUGGUACCAAUUCUGAAACCAAACUUAACUGGCAGGACUUAAGCGCAAUUACCAACAAAACCCCCCACAAGAACAAGACAGAUAUUUAGCCCUGCCAGUUUAGUUUGAAACUUUGUAUAAAACAGAAUCGGUAAGAUUGUUUGUUCAAGUUUUCUAUUGAGAAAAUAUUUUUAACCCCUAAUGACUAAGAUUCUGAAGGCACUUAAUGUUACACUGAAAUGACUUGUAAUGGUUGUACUUAUAGAGUUCUACGUAUUGAUUGUAUGAUGGUAACUCCGGCAGAUAAUAUACUAAUCGGUUAUCGCGGCAGCAAAAUCGUUCCGACGUCGACAACGAGGCCUCUCAGGCUGAGAUCUAAGGAGCGUACUUUGAUGCUCACACUUCAGACACAGUUAAAACGAGUCACAAUUAUAUCUCUUACAUAAAUCUGUUUGAACUCUAAAUAAAGCCUGAAAAACUAACAGUCUGUGUACAAUGAACAGUGAAUGAA